rnacentral:lncRNA from 1 species
GAGAAAGAGCUGGAUUGUACUUUGCCAUAUAUUUUUAACGGGAAUUGAUAUAUCAACAGAAAGAUUCAAAUCAUAACUUGAUAUAUACAAUGUGUCUAUUCUGGCAAUAUACAAAAAUCGUUCUCGAUAUAUCAAUCCCCAUUUUUAACCUUUCAAUUCUACGAAUGUUUGAAUUUCUUUCAAUAAUAAUUGACCAAUUGGAGCUCAAUUUCCAAGUCAACAAGUAUUUCUACCUUGACUUCAAUUUCAGGCUAAGUUAUUGUUUAUUAUUUUUUCCCUUUAAAUAUAACAACAAACUUAUAAUUCGAAAAAAUGGAUGAAUGAUGCACACACCCAUUUCUAUCAUUGAGAAACAUUUAUU